rnacentral:rRNA from 1 species
GUCUAUGGCCACGCCGCCCUGAGCAAGCCCGAUCCCGUCUGAUCUCGGAAGCUAAGCAGGGUCGGGCCUGGUUAGUAUUUGGGUGGGAGACCACCUAGGAAGACCGGGUGCUGUAGGCG